UAUUAAAUUUUGUUCACCUGGUUAAGGAGGCACUUUAAAAAACUCAUAUAUUGUAUUUGAAAUCUCCAAAGCCAUAUGAAAUAUCCAAAUUUUAGAGAUUUUUUAAAAGAUAUCCUUAGGAGUUGUGAUGUCCUAAGUACAAAAGAAUACAAGCAUCCCUCAGUGGUUCCCUUCAGAUCCAAAAAGUUCUCCAAGUUUAUAGUUUUGCAUCUGAAAACACUAAACCCAAUUAGUUCUCAAGGAACUUUGAGGAAUGCUAGAUUGUAGAUAUGACUGAUCAUGGAGUGGUGUGAAGGACCUUCAAGACAAGGGACUGGGAAGCUGAGCUGGUACUGAACAGUGUAGAUGGAGAAUGUGGCCUUGAAUUGAAGCCAUGGAAGACAGUAAAGAUGUUACUCUGAAUACAAAAGAUCCUUCAGGUCACAUUUCCAACUCAUAGCACUGAAAGAUCUUGUUUUUCCAUGGCACAAUUCUCAACAGCUGAAGAUAUUAUUUUGCUUUAUUAAAAAUUAAUCUAUGCUAUUUUCUAGUGACCACGUUUUAUGAAGAAGUAGUGAAAGUGUAGUUUGAUGUCUGCCUAAUGCACUCUUUAAUGACAACGUUUAUAGAAGCUUUAAGAAUUUGUAAUGAAGUAAUAUUAUCAAUCAAUUAAAGCACAAUGUAAAUUAUAAUUACAAAAGUAAAAUGAUAUACCUAAGUAGUGUGCAAUAUGAAUUUUCAUCUAUUGUUCUAGGACAUAAAAUAUGUUCAAUUAUUUCUCUAAACCAAUGGUUUUCAAAGCCCGAUUCGUGGACCAAUGCCAGUAUCAGGAUCACUUGGAAAGGUGUUAGAAAUUUAAAUUCUGGGGCUCUACCCAAAAUCUACUGAAUCAGAAACUUAGGAGAUAGGCCUCACAGUCUGUGUUUUAACAGGUCUGACAGUUAAAUCACAGUCUGUGAUUCUGAUGCAGGCUCAAAUUUGAGAAUCCUUCCUCUAGACCACUGGCUCUCAGUCAUAGGUGACUUUGCCUUCAAGGCACAUUUAUCAAUAUCUGCAGACAUUUUUAGUUGUCAUAACUGGGACAGAAGGUGCUACUGGCAUCUAGUGGAUGGAUGCCAGGGGUGCUACUAAGUAUUCUAAAAAUGCACAAGACAGCCCUCACCCCACAGCAAAGAAUUGUCCAGCCUAAAAUGUCCAUUGUGCCAAGGUUGAGAAACCCUAACUCGCCAAGAAAUUAAACCUCAGUCAGUUUCUGAGGGUUGGAGGGACUUCAUUCUCAAUCUGUAGCCUAAUGCCAGGCUUAGGUGGACCAGAAGGAAACAGGUUCUUAAUCCAGGUGAUUACCUUCAUUCCAGUGUUCUCUUUGCUAUUUCUUUUGAACUGUUGGGGCAAGGACCCCUCCCAGCUCACCUGUCACCACCAGGAAGAAUAUCCCUCCACACUCCCAACUAGACUCUCCCAUGAGACAAUUAUCAGAACUUCACAGAAUCCAGGCAUCCUGAAAUAACGUGCCCAGGGCAAGUGGGGGCAAUGGGUAACCAUGCCCUCCCCAUCACCUUCUGUCUCUCUCAGUUAAUAUCCACUCCCUAGGUCUUGGCACUCCUACUUCUCUCUCUCCAUAAACUCACCCAUGCGCUCUCCAUUAUGAAUCACUUUGUUUCAACCUGUACAGUGAAACACAAAAUCUUUUUAUUGUCUGGGGUUUCAGGUGGGUUUAGGAAGGUCUGCUUUUAGAAACAAUAUUGAGCCAGGGCACCUGUGUGUCUCAGUUGGUUAAGCAUCCAACUUUGGCUCAGGUCAUGAUCUCACAGUUUGUGGGUUUGAGCCCCGGCAUUGGGCUUGGUGCUGACAUCUCAGAGCUUGGAUCCUGCUUCGGAUUCUAGGUCUCUCUCUCUGCCCCUCCCCACUUGUGCUCUGUCUGUCUCUCUCAAGAACAAACAAACAUGAAAAAAAUUUUAGAAACAAUAUUGAACCAUUUUCCCUGGUGUGAGUGUGAGGAGGGGACAGACAGGCUAACAUUAAGUCUUUGUCUUAUUAACCCUCUCUGCUAUAUCAUGUGUAUCACGUUUAACCUAAUUUCUCCUAUGUACUUGUAUAUAUUUAGUGUACCUCUAAAGCAGUAAUCAGAGGAAAAGAUAAUCUCUACAGACCUAAUGAGCAGAAUAUGCUUGCUGAGUACUAAGGAAAAGGCCAUAGAAAGAAAGAGGAAUAAGUUAUAAUGCCCAGGAAAUAUUACCCUUUCCUGGAAGAUUUGGCAGGGCUCUACCAAUCCGUGUACUAGGAGUUCUAGGAGAAGCUAUUUGGGGCACCAGGUAGCUGAUGAAGGAGCAUCACAGAGAUCCCAGAAGUAUGGGAGGCUAAAUUCUGUGGGGCCCACUGAAGGAGUACCUGGGCUGCUUCAUAGUGAUAAAUCUAAAGGAAUCCCAUCUGCAGUUCGAGUGCAGGGACUGGGGUGGUCUUGCUGACCAAUCACACUGCUUCCCUGGAGCCCAAACAGUGCCAUUCCUUUACUGAUGAUUACAAUUAUAACUUAUUCUUUCUGUCUUCCCAGGCCUAUCUGACAUGGUCUUCUGUGCAGGGCUGCUUCACAGGGGCACACAGUGCCACUGGUUCCAGCCACAGGGUAUGGUGAUAUGGUCAAGUUUCUUACAAACUUUCUGCAUAGUUUUGUUACUCUUGUCAACGUGAGAAUAUAUGGGGAAGCCAAGUUUGUUUAGAUAGUGACUAUGGGAAUAGAUGACUUGGGUGAUAAGGCCGUGGGCCCGGUACUCAGGCAGGGUACCCGCCAUCCGUAACUCUCCUGUCUGGUCCAUCAGGUUCCAGGAUACAGGCGUCCUCUCAGGCCCCAGCAGGCAGAAGGUGGGGAAGUUCUGGAUACAGCGCUCGAUGAAUCUCUGGCUCCUCUCAUUGCCGCCAAAAUGCCAGAAUUUAUUCACCAAGGCAGCGUGGGUAACAUCCAGGGAGGAGGGUUUAAACAUCUCUUGGCAGCUAUGGAGGAAAAGCAAAGUCUCAUGGAGAAGGAGCAUGAGAAGUUCAUAUGAAAAGGCAGGAGAAUCUUUGCUCGUUUGGACAUCACUACAUCCCAUUCUGGAAUUUUCCCCAAGGAAAAUAAUUUUUUUAAGAGCAUUUAUUCGAACACCAGUGCUAUCAAGAAGGACAUUGUAGAGUCUGAGAAAGAGAAAUCCUCCAAACUGGAAGGGUCCCUGUGGUUGUGAGGGAAGGAAAUACAGCAAUGCAUACCAGUGUGGACCUUGGGAGCUAAGUGCAGUUGGAAACAUGAUGCUUCAGUAGAUUGUAUGGAAAGAUGCUAAAGACCAAGGACCAAUGAAAUGAUAAGUUCCAUGACAAAGGACCACACCUCACCCUGUACUUUCCUACUCCUGGCAUAUUUAAUACCAUAUUAAACUUAAUAUGAGAGGACAUA